CAGAAAAUCCAAACACGCUGCCCAAGUCCGACUUUCCUGAUGGCCUGAGCAGCAGCUGCCGUCCGCCCCAGUCGCUUCCUCCUUUCAACGUCUGGCAGCAGGUACUAAGAAGCAGAAAUGAGAUGCAAGGACCAUCCGCCGGCCGCAGAAAGGUGACCAAGGGAGGCAGGGCUGGAAAAGCCCAACGAAGAAUAAUCGAUCCCUAAAAAAUCACAAGCUGAUUCACGCUGGGAAGAGCUGCUGAGCAACCCCCCCCCCAGACUGCACCAGGCACAGAGGGGUACAGAUGCAUGAGGGGGUGCAGGAACCCCUCUCCCUCUGCCCAGAGCACCUGGGUGGCUCAGCGGUUGAGGAUCUGCCUUCCACUCAGGUGGGCAGAUGGAAUGCUAACCGUAGCCCUGACCCUGCGUGGUCUCCUAGUUGUUGGCACUGGUUAAGUAAGAAAGCUGCUGACUGACACGAGAAGCUGUUGAUGGAUGAAGGAACAGGCAAAAUGCUAAGAAGCAGAGCCGGUUAAAACUGACUUCACAGGACGCCUGGGUGGCUCAGCGGUUGAGCGUCUGCCUCUGGCUCAAGAUGAUCCGGGAUCAAGUCCCGCAUCGGGCUCCCUGCAUGGAGCCUGCUUCUCCCUCUGCCGCUGCCUCUGUCUCUGUGUCUGUCAUGAAUAAAUAAAUAAAAUAUUUAAAAAAAAAACCUGACUUCACAGAGGCGUCCAGGUGGCUCAGUCGGUUGGGCAUCUGCCUGUGACUCUGGUCGUGAUCCCAGGGCUCUGAUUGAGCUCCACAUCCUCUGCUCUGUGGGGACCUGC